rnacentral:rRNA from 1 species
AGCGAACGCUGGCGGCAGGCCUAACACAUGCAAGUCGAGCGAACCUUUCGGGGUUAGUGGCGGACGGGUGAGUAACACGUGGGAACGUGCCUUUAGGUUCGGAAUAACUCAGGGAAACUUGUGCUAAUACCGAAUGUGCCCUUCGGGGGAAAGAUUUAUCGCAUUUAGAGCGGCCGGCGUCUGAUUAGCUAGUUGGUUGAGGUAAUGGCUCACCAAGGCGACGAUCAGUAGCUGGUCUGAGAGGAUGAUCAGCCACAUUGGGACUGAGACACGGCACAAACUCCUACGGGAGGCAGCAGUGGGGAAUCUUGCGCAAUGGGCGAAAGCCUGACGCAGCCAUGCCGCGUGAAUGAUGAAGGUCUUAGGAUUGUAAAAUUCUUUCACCGGGGACGAUAAUGACGGUACCCGGAGAAGAAGCCCCGGCUAACUUCGUG